AUGAUGGACGAAACAGGUAACAGGGCUGAGGAAAACUCUUCCGGAGGUUGUAGAGGAAACUAAAGCAGGAGAAAAACUGCCUAGUGCCGAAAGGUCCUUUGCUGCAGAUCAAGACUUCCAACUUGCCCUAUACCUAUAUAGAAAAAUGGCUGGAAGGAUAUAGAGAAAAAUGCUAAAAGAAGAAUAUCUAUGAGUCAUCAGUGUCCUGAGAAGCUAAACGUCCUACUAAGGAUCCUGCAAAGGGAAAACAGAAGAGGAACUUGCACUUUUUGAGAACUUGCUGUGUGCCAUAAGCCUAAGUCCCUAUGUGGGAAGGAUUCUACCCACACAUGACAGAGGAGGAGACUGAAGCAUGAAAAAGAAAUGGCGUUUUGCUGGAGAAAGCAGCAUAGCGGAAUGUAAAGCGGUAAAGCGUGUAUGCUCUGGAGCCACAGACCUAGAUGGUGAAGUCUAGCUCUGGUACUUGACAGAUCCCAUUCUCCAUCAUCUCCACCCUGCUCUGUGACCCAGUCGGCUGCUCUGCUUGAACGACAUCAACAAGCUUCCUGCAUCCUCAUGUCUAGCUGAACUCAACCAGUGGGAAGUACCAGCAGGAGAUCAAAAGAAAGGAGCAAAGUCCACUGUGGGAUGGCUGCUUCUCUUGACCCAUGGUUUCAGCUCCUGACAGGUAGCCACUCCAUGCAGCCCUUCUCUCAUUGGGUUCUGGUGACCAUCCUCUCCUCUUGCCUCUUUGGGUAUAACAGUGGAUAGUGAUACUCUUGAUAAUAAUACUAUUCCUCAUGGUUUUCCUAUACUGUGACCACACUUUUGUAAAGAGUGAUUUAAUAAAUAUGCAGUAACUGUGG
ensembl:lncRNA novel transcript